rnacentral:rRNA from 1 species
GAUGAACGCUGGCGGCGUGCCUAAUACAUGCAAGUCGAGCGAACGGACGAGAAGCUUGCUUUUCUGAUGUUAGCGGCGGACGGGUGAGUAACACGUGGAUAACCUACCUAUAAGACUGGAUAACUUCGGGAAACCGGAGCUAAUACCGGAUAAUAUUUUGAACCGCAUGGUUCAAAAGUGAAAGACGGUUUUGCCGUCACUUAUAGAUGGAUCCGCGCUGCAUUAGCUAGUUGGUAAGGUAACGGCUUACCAAGGCAACGAUGCAUAGCCGACCUGAGAGGGUGAUCGGCCACACUGGAACUGAGACACGGUCCAGACUCCUACGGGAGGCAGCAGUAGGGAAUCUUCCGCAAUGGGCGAAAGCCUGACGGAGCAACGCCGCGUGAGUGAUGAAGGUCUUCGGAUCGUAAAACUCUGUUAUUAGGGAAGAACAUAUGUGUAAGUAACUGUGCACAUCUUGACGGUACCUAAGCAGAAAGCCACGGCUAACUACGU